rnacentral:rRNA from 1 species
AGCAUGUGGUUUAAUUCGACGCAACGCGCAGACCUUACCUAGACUUGACAUCCCCUGCAUAACCCAGAGAUGGGCGAAGUCCUUCGGGACAGGGUGACAGGUGGUGCAUGGUUGUCGUCAGCUCGUGUCGUGAGAUGUUGGGUUAAGUCCCGCAACGAGCGCAACCCUUAUCAUUAGUUGCUACCAUUAAGUUGAGCACUCUAGUGAGACUGCCCGGGUUAACCGGGAGGAAGGUGGGAUGACGUCAAAUCAUCAUGCCCCUUAUGUCUAGGGCUACACACGUGCUACAAUGGUGAGUACAAAGAGAUGCAAGACCGCAAGGUGGAGCCAAACUCAAAAACUCAUCCCAGUUCGGAUUGUAGGCUGCAACUCGCCUACAUGAAGCCGGAGUUGCUAGUAAUCGCGAAUCAGCAUGUCGCGGUGAAUACGUUCCCGGGCCUU